rnacentral:rRNA from 1 species
UACGAAGGGGGCUAGCGUUGCUCGGAAUCACUGGGCGUAAAGGGCGCGUAGGCGGCCAUUCAAGUCGGAGGUGAAAGCCCAGGGCUCAACCCUGGAAUUGCCUUCGAUACUGUCUGGCUAGAGACCGGAAGAGGUAAAUGGAACUGCGAGUGUAGAGGUGAAAUUCGUAGAUAUUCGCAAGAACACCAGUGGCGAAGGCGGCUUACUGGUCCGGUUCUGACGCUGAGGCGCGAAAGCGUGGGGAGCAAACAGG